AUGCUUCGCCACGUUGACCCAGCGAGUCGCCCCACGGAGAGCCGCUCGGUGACUUUCUCCUCGGUGGUGCACUGGGCCGUCUUCUUCCUACGCAACCACGCCGUCACCCUGCAUGGCGCCGCUGGGAUGAACGCCACGUCCCCCAUGGCGGUGGGCAGGGCAAUAGAGGUGCAACUCAUUGUCCCAGAGCACCUGCUGCGUGUCACGGCCCACCACCCGGAGCACUACCUCGUCAUCUUCAGCCAACCAGCGCACCAAGUCAACGCCGUCCGGAGUGGCUCCAUUCGAGUCGAUGGCACCGCCUUCAACAUCGCAUUGUGGCAUGAGCACAACCACGCCAUCUUUGACUUUAUCCAGCUACACGUUAGAGUCGUCAUCGAGAAGGUCCCCAUGCAAUACUGGUCAGUGUAG
rnacentral:rRNA from 1 species